rnacentral:tRNA from 1 species
GCGUGCGUAGCCAAGUGGUAAGGCAGUGGACUGUGGCUCCACCUACCGCGGGUUCGAUUCCCGUCGUUCGCC